GUGAUUACAUCAAAGGCCAAGUAAUAGGGUAUAUGGAUCAGUUUGGCACUUCACUUCCUGUUAAGGUGAUCAGAAAUUGCAACAGAGAUUACAACAAGUGUAGCAAGUAGCAAAACCUUUUACACUGAUUCCAAUGGACGCGAUUUCAUCAAAAGGAUUCGAGACUAUAGAAAAGACUGGAAAUUGCAAGUAAAUCAACUUGUUGCUGGAAAUUAUUACCCUAUCAACCUUGGGAUUUACCUGAAAGAUAAAAGUAAAGAGCUCUCUAUAUUGGUAGAUAGGUCUGUGGGGGGAUCCAGCAUCAAAGAUGGGCAAUUAGAAAUAAUUGUUAAAUUCCUCUGAAGUGAGUUGCCCAUUUCUACU